GCGCGCUUAGCUCAGUCGGUAGAGCAACUGACUUUUAAUCAGUAGGUCAUUGGUUCGAAUCCAAUAGCGCGUACCA
rnacentral:tRNA from 1 species